rfam:Triticum aestivum genome assembly, contig: Triticum_aestivum_CS42_TGACv1_scaffold_487240_6AS
GAAUUACUCCCUUCGUCCGGAAUUACUUAUCGCGGAAAUGGAUAUAUCUAGAACUAAAUUAUGUCUAGAUACAUCUAUUCCUCCGACAAAUAUUUCCGGACGGAGGGAGUACUUG